rnacentral:rRNA from 1 species
AUUGAACGCUGGCGGAAUGCUUUACACAUGCAAGUCGAACGGCAGCACGGGUGCUUGCACCUGGUGGCGAGUGGCGAACGGGUGAGUAAUGUAUCGGAACGUAUCCAGUAAUGGGGGAUAACUAACCGAAAGGUUAGCUAAUACCGCAUACGCCCUACGGGGGAAAGCAGGGGAUCUUCGGACCUUGCGUUAAUGGAGCGGCCGAUAUCUGAUUAGCUAGUUGGUGAGGUAAAGGCUCACCAAGGCUUCGAUCAGUAGCUGGUCUGAGAGGACGACCAGCCACACUGGAACUGAGACACGGUCCAGACUCCUACGGGAGGCAGCAGUGGGGAAUUUUGGACAAUGGGGGCAACCCUGAUCCAGCCAUUCCGCGUGAGUGAAGAAGGCCUUCGGGUUGUAAAGCUCUUUCGCAAGGGAAGAAACGAUACAGUCGAAUAAACUGUGUUAAUGACGGUACGUUGAUAAGAAGCACCGGCUAACUACGUGCCAGCCGCCGCAGUAA